AACAGUAAUAAUAAUAAAUAAAUAGUAAGAAGGAUUUGAUUGAAAGCUAGAAAAAUAAGAAUAAAGUCUAAUAGUUAAGAGCUAAUGUAAAAAGAUAUGUUUUUAGAUUUUUCUUAAAAAUAGUAACAGAGGUUGCUUGACGAAUAUUUAUCGGUAGUGUGGUUCAGAUUUUUGGCGCAUAAAAACAGAAAGUCGCUUCUCCACUAUUUUUGAGUUUCAUACGGGAAAUCUGGAGGAGUCUAUCAGUUGAUGAUCUUAAGACUUAAUUUGGAACAUAUUCAAUCAACAUUUCAGACAUGUAUUAAGGUGCUAAACCAUUAAUUGAUUUAUAGACUAGUAAUAAAUCUUAAACUUUAUUCAUUAAAAAACAGGUAGCCAAUGAAGGGGAAGGCAAAAUUUGUUUUGAUAUGGUCGUGUUUUUUAGCACGUGUCAAUAUUCUGCUGACAUUACCUGACAGCAGUUCAGCGUUUUUACUCUAAGAAGCUUGAUAAAUAUGGGUCAGUGUUCUUAGUGUAAUUACAGGCUAAUUUAUGUGGAUUCUGGGUUCCAAAAAACAGUAAUUUGGAUUUCUUGGAUCUGCGAAAGCAUCACUGAUGCAAAUCCGAUUUUCCAUCUGUCUCACAGAGAUGCAUUUGUGUGUUGUCGAGUGUAAACAGUGUGUGAGACAGAGCGGUGGGCACGCAUUAGACAGUAACUGAGGCGCAGACGUGCAGUAUUGAUGGCAGCACAGCGUGGUCACAGAUCCGCCGCGAGCAGAGCGAGCAGGAGAGACAGCUCUCUGAUGAUUGAAUGGCUCAAGUCUCCCGGCUCUUGCUGGAAAUUCGGGGGGUUUGUCUUUUUUCCUGAAAACACACUCACUCACACUCUUACAGGGGCAUGCUACAAAUGUCUGGACGUAAGCAGUCUCUGUGAGCGUCUUCCCACAAGAAGAAUUCUACACCAAAGCGAAAUUUUCAGUCCAGGCCCUUUGAGGACCCCCUUCAUCUAGUGGCCUGUCAGUUCCACUUCUCUGCUUUGUAAAACUUGUAACAGACAGAUUGCUUGAGUUGUUUUUUGUGGGAAAUGCUCUGCAGUCUGAAUGCAGCACUAAGGUAUACAUGAUUCAUUUAAAACACACACAGUACAACUUCUAUACUUCUAUUCUCUUUUUUUUUAGGUAGGUCUUGCACAGAAAAUGCCAGAGACAUCCCACCUCUCCCAGUAGCUGCGUGAGUCUCCUAUAUGUUUACACUGAUGUCAAAAAUUAUGGUUUAGCAGUGUUUGAAUGGAUCAUGGGUUAUUACCUCAGGGGAGGUUAAGAAAAGUUGCAAAUAUCCUCUCGUGGGAUGAGACAUUCCAUAUCUGAAGUUGAGCGGGCAUUUAUCACUCCUAUAAUUCUUCAGACCAUUAAUUGUGUUUCUCUGUUUUUGGUAUUACUUAAUUUCAGUUCCACCCUAAUACACCCCACCUGGUCCAGAUGAUCACUGUUUUUGGUUAAAUAGAAAGGUUGUGUUAUACUUGUAUUAGAGAUUAUACCUGUAGGAAUUACUGAUUUGAUUGUGUUAAAUAACCUAAUUUAAAUCUACCGUAUUUUUUACACUAUGAGGCGCUCUUAAAAUCCUUUAGGGCCCAAUUUUAACGAUCUAUAGCGCACUAGUUAAUUGCGCUUUGCGCAGUUGGAUUUAUGGGCGUGUCCUCUGUCUUUGGUAUGUUGAGGGCGCGAAAAAUACGCCUUGCGCAGAGAGAAAGAGAGAGAGAGAGAGAGAGAGAGAGAGAGGCGCAGCGCAUUUUGCCUGAUUUCUUUUGAUUUAUUAUCCGUAAAUAUAGUGAGUUUAUACCAUUAAUUUUACUACACUUGAUACGACCUUAUUUAUUAAAAUACUUUUUUUAAGAAAACAGAGGUAAUCCCGCGCCGCGCGCGCUGCCAAACCCGCUAUGCACGCCUGCAGUCUUUUUUGAGCGCUGGACCAGAUUUUCGUUAAUGAAUUAAUAUAUUUAAUAUUUUAAUAAAUUUGCCCUGGUGAUAAGAAACGAACGCUAA
rnacentral:lncRNA from 1 species